rnacentral:rRNA from 1 species
UUCGCAAUGCCCGAAAGGGUGACGAUGUGACGCCGCGUGAGCGAAGAAGGCCCUAGGGUUGUAAAGCUCUGCCGAGGGUUAUGAAAUAUAGAUGGGUUAAUACCCCAUUUAUUUGACAAAAGCCCAAAAGGAAGCCACGGCUAACUCUGUGCCAGCAGCCGCGGUAAUACAGAGGUGGCGAGCGUUGUUCGGUAUUAUUGGGCGUAAAGAGCACGUAGGUGGUUUUGUAAGUCAGGUGUGAAAGCCUUCUGUUCAAGGGAAGAACGGCAUCUGAAACUGCAGAUCUUGAGUGUAGGAGGGGAGAGUGGAACUUCUGGUGGAGCGGUGAAAUGCGUAGAUAUCAGAAGGAACGUCGGCGGCGAAAGCGACUCUCUGGCCUAUUACUGGCACUGAGGUGCGAAAGUUAGGGGAGCAAACGGGAUUAGAUACCCCGGUAGUCCUAACCGUAAACGAUGGGCACUAAGUAGAGGGGUUUU